AGAGUUUGAUCCUGGCUCAGGAUAAACGCUGGCGGCGUGCCUUACGCAUGCAAGUCGAACGAAGCCCCCGCUUCGGCGGGGUGACUGAGUGGCAAACGGCUGAGUAACGCGUAGGUGAUCUGUCCCGAGGAGGGGAACAACUCGUGGAAACGCGGGCCAAUGCCCCAUACGCCCAUCGGCUCGGACCGGUGGGGAAAGUUCCGGCGCCUUGGGAGGAGCCUGCGUCCGAUUAGCUGGUUGGUGGGGUAAUGGCCCACCAAGGCGACGAUCGGUAGCUAGUCUGAGAGGAUGAUCAGCCAGAUUGGGACUGAGACACGGCCCAAACUCCUACGGGAGGCAGCAGCGAGGAAUCUUGCGCAAUGGGCGAAAGCCUGACGCAGCAACGCCGCGUGGGUGAUGAAGGCCUUCGGGUUGUAAAACCCUUUUGCCGGGGAAGAACCAUGACGGUACCCGGCGAAUAAGCCACGGCUAACUACGUGCCAGCAGCCGCGGUAAGACGUAGGUGGCGAGCGUUAUCCGGAUUUACUGGGCGUAAAGGGUACGUAGGCGGCGCGGUCAGUCUGCCGUGAAAUCUCCCGGCUCAACCGGGAGCGGUCGGUGGAACCUGCCGCGCUGGAGGGGCGUAGAGGCAAGCGGAAUUCCUGGAGUAGUGGUGGAAUGCGUAGAUACCAGGAGGAACACCAGUGGCGAAAGCGGCUUGCCAGGCGCAUCCUGACGCUAAGGUACGAAAGCGUGGGUAGCGAACCGGAUUAGAUACCCGGGUAGUCCACGCCGUAAACGAUGGAUGCUAGUCGUGGGGGGUAUCGACCCCCUCCGUGACGAAGCUAACGCGAUAAGCAUCCCGCCUGGGGACUACGGCCGCAAGGCUAAAACUCAAAGGAAUUGACGGGUCCCCGCACAAGCGGCGGAGCGUGUGGUUUAAUUCGAUGAUAAGCGAAGAACCUUACCUGGGCUUGACAUGCGUCUGACAGCCCGUGAAAGCGGGUUUUCCUUCGGGACAGAUGCACAGAUGUUGCAUGGCUGUCGUCAGCUCGUG
rnacentral:rRNA from 1 species